UACGGGGGGUGCAAGCGUUGUUCGGAAUCAUUGGGCGUAAAGAGCGUGUAGGCGGCUAGAUAAGUCAGAUGUGAAAUCCCUCGGCUCAACCGAGGAAGUGCAUUUGAAACUGUCCAGCUCGAGUAAGGGAGAGGAAAGUGGAAUUCCUGGUGUAGAGGUGAAAUUCGUAGAUAUCAGGGGGAACACCGGUGGCGAAGGCGACUUUCUGGCCCUAUACUGACGCUGAGACGCGAGAGCGUGGGGAGCAAACAGG
rnacentral:rRNA from 1 species